rnacentral:rRNA from 1 species
GAUGAACGCUGGCGGCGUGCCUAAUACAUGCAAGCCGAGCGAACGGACGAGAAGCUUGCUUUUCUGAUGUUAGCGGCGGACGGGUGAGUAACACGUGGAUAACCUACCUAUAAGACUGGGAUAACUUCGGGAAACCGGAGCUAAUACCGGAUAAUAUUUUGAACCGCAUGGUUCAGAAGUGAAAGACGGUCUUGCUGUCACUUAUAGAUGGAUCCGCGCUGCAUUAGCUAGUUGGUAAGGUAACGGCUUACCAAGGCAACGAUGCAUAGCCGACCUGAGAGGGUGAUCGGCCACACUGGAACUGAGACACGGUCCAGACUCCUACGGGAGGCAGCAGUAGGGAAUCUUCCGCAAUGGGCGAAAGCCUGACGGAGCAACGCCGCGUGAGUGAUGAAGGUCUUCGGAUCGUAAAACUCUGUUAUUAGGGAAGAACAUAUGUGUAAGUAACUGUGCACAUCUUGACGGUACCUAAUCAGAAAGCCACGGCUAACUACGUG